CGGCCGGCGGGGGGGAGGAAGACUCGGGCCCCCGGAGGGGGGGGGACUUACCUCCGACCCGGUACAUGUUGGCAGCCAUGCCCGGGCUGGGGGGUCUGGGCCGCUCCCGCCGCCGCCGUUGCCUCCAGGCCUGACCAAGAUAGAGCUCUGGCUGAAAGAGAACUGACUACAUCACAAUCCAGAUGAGAUGGAAGAAAAAGGAAAGCAUUAAGAUGCAUCUCCUACAACUGUCCUUCAGCCUCCAACUGCCUGGCUUUCUGCUACAGAUUUAAGGACACAUAUCCUCACAUUUUCCCCCAGUAUAAACAAGGAGGAGGAGCCAACACCAUGUGACCUGCCACCUCAUCAUUUACUGCUAGCAAGUGCCCAGUGACCACUGUUUUGAGAAUCUUUGGGAAGAUUUUUCUGUGCAGUUACCACAGGGCAAGUCAACAGUGCACAGGGACCCACCUGGGAAGGAAGAAGGGAUGUGCGCUUCCUUCUGACUUUUGGCUGGAUUUGAUUUCUGUCCUGUCUCCUGAGGGGCCAGUGAAGAGAUGGAAGAGGAUGAGUCUCUUUGUUGUUUGAAACAGGACCCAGCUCUCUGCAGGCUGGGGUGGGAAGAGCUGCAUGCUUUGGAGUCUUGGAACCACGUUUCUUCAGGGAAGAGAUGGUGCCUACCCAGAGUUCUCCCACUGCUACUCCCCUGAAGUACACCACCCAGCUGAGCACCCCUUGAUCUACUCUUUUUUUGGGUCAGUCCAUCUCUGCUGCUGAGCCAGUCUGCCACGGGGCUCUGUACUCUCACAUGGGCAGGUUUCCUUCCAGUGGAGGGGUUGGCUGGCCUCCAUCACUACCCUGCUUGUCUCCCCUUGCUGUUUAGAGUCUACCAAGGUGGUGAUGUCUGAUCUGAUAGUGUGCCAUCCUCAGCAUGGGGGGACGUGUCUGGGAGGUCAGUCCUCAGUGUCGUGAGUCCAGCCAGCCCAUGCUGUCCCUGGCUUCCAUUUGUGAAUGGACACUCAGAACACAGCACUUGUUCAGGAAUGGACCCACUCCUGGUUGCUCCCCCAGGAGAGCAGUGAACCUCUCACAUUUGCUAGUGGAUUCUCUAGGGCUGACCCACGUUUUGUGGAAGGUUGCACUGAGGCUGUUCUGACUCACCCUGCAGGCACAGUCAUGCUAUGGUCCCUCCUUGUCCAAGGGGAAGCGAUGGAAGAGCCCAUGUCACCAGGGCUUCAACACUCAGCUGGCUGUCAGAGCUCUCUGCUCUGAGAAUGAGGGAACUGGGAGACCUGGCACCUCCAUGGACUAUCCUGGUUGCCUGGUCCUUGUCUGAGUGGGGGAUAGGUAUGUUCUGCGUUGAGCUGGGAAAUGGGGGGAGGUAGGCAGAGGCCUUCUAACAGCUGGAAGGAACAUGGGCUGGCCGGUAGCAUUGUACUGGGAGACAGGGGAGUUGCAAAGGAAAAAAGGAAGAGAGGAUCAGAAGACCCAAGAACUGUAGCAAGUUCCCUGUGCUGCUCCUCCCACGCCAGAGGCAGCACAUUUUGGUGGUGGGUUUCCAGCAAGCAGGUCCUUAACAGAGAAGAUUGGACUGAAGCCUGUAGGUGUGAGAACACCCUCAAUGGGGGGGUGGAGGGGAGGGGGAGCUGUGACAUACUCUCACUUGAAUACUAGCAGCACAACUGCUGUACCCUCUUAACCAGCCCCACUCUCCUCUUCUCCACAUUCUUCUCACACUUUCCCAUUCUCACCCUCCCUCCACUAACCAUACCUUACCCUAUGACCACCACCUCCUCAUCCUCCUUCGCUCCAACCCUUUCGCCCAACAAACGGAUAGUAGGAAUCCCUCUACAUGAGAAAACAGCCCUGAAUGACUAUUCCGCACUAGCUCCUUGGGUGGAUGCUCAUAUAGUACACCAAGAGUGCCUUUAACUUAAUCCACUUCCAAUUAAUCCAUCGCUUUAAAUUCACACCGGGUCCUGUUUCACAAUAGAAUCCUUGUGUAAACCAGCUGUAAGGGUACAGUCUCUGUUAAUCACUGCUGUGAAAUCGUCUAACAAGGGUACAGGAUGAUACUGAGUCCAACAAAAGGGCUGGAUAGUUGUAUGACCAUUAAUACAUCUGUACCUGCAAUAAUGAACAAUCUUGUGCUUCAGGCCUUCAACUGAUGCCCAGCAAUACUCACAACUGUAUAGCUGCCUAGGUGCAUGAGGGAUAUCUUCAUCUUAAAUGUCAAGUAUUAGCCAUCUUUAGACCACAGACAGAUCCGUUAUGGCAAAAUUUGGACACCAUGCCUGGAAAAGGUUUUCUGCAAGUCUAAAGCUAAUGGAGCAACAGUGCAUAGAGUUCUUUAAGAAAUGGCACUGCAGCAGAAAGGGCAAGAUAUUGUUUUAAUGAAUGCUUGGGGUUGAUCAGGAAAAACCAAAAUACCCCACCCCAAAAACCCAGCCAAAGUCCAACCGCGAGAUUGCGUGGCUCAUGAUUUGUUGUGUGUUCAAUUAUUCAGUGGCCUCAUGGUACAGCAACCAGCUUUUAUUUCACAGGGGCAAAGGCAGAUCAUGAGACCUACCCAACAUAGUGUGAUUUGCUGGCACCAAACACAGCAACACGGGGAGUCACUCCCCAUAACACAAAAAUAAGGUCACCUCUAGGGCCACAAGCCAGCAGGCCUAACCAUGGCAUCUCAGGGCUGGGGAGCAAGUUCUACUGUUAAGACAUCAUACAGUGAACCUGGGCAGAUCUGGAAAGCCAGGACGAGUACAACUGUCCACCUUUCACAUGUCAGCAAUACCCGAUAGAGCAGCAAGCUGAAUCCCCUCCCCCUCUUACCCUUUUUGUUCUUUUCCUUUGUCACAACUGUCAUUGACAUCGUUGGAGUGCUGGUGGUCUCCCCACUCGUGGGUAACCUGCUGACCUGGAGAGACCGGAAAGUGCAUUUGAGUGUGUUUUUGGCAGUGGAAGGGUCCUUCUUCUCCGGGUCUCUCUUCUUCUCCAUGGGCUGAGCUGCAAUCCAGUAAUCCACCUGCAGUCCCAUCAGCUCAGCACCAAGGGUCUGGCUAAAAGAUGGGAGGAAAGAAUCAUUUUCAUAUGCUGAUUGACUGGAUUUCCAUCAAAAAGACAAUCAAGGGCUCAACAUUUUCACAAGUGACUAGGGAUGCUGGCUACCCAAUCUGAGAUUCCUUAAAGUGGACAGAUUUUCAGGGGACACAUGCUCAGCUUCUUCGACAAGUCAGAUCCCUUGGACGUCUCUCACAAUGGGCACCUGAGAAUGGUAAGCACCCAGAAACAACUAUCAAAGGGUAGAUCAAGGAGGUUAAGAUCUUCUCAUGAAGGACAAUUGUCAAGGAAGCGCCGUUACGUGGCUUAUGAGCCAGGGAUCAUUGUUACUAAUUACAUUUAAUCAGGCAACUUCUAA